CACAGGUCUGUGCGAAGGCGUGAGCCGCGGUAUACAGACUGACGCCUGCCCGGUGCCGGUAGUUAGGGAGCGGUUAGCCCGUAAGGGUGAAGCUGGCGACCGAAGCUCCGGUAAACGGCGGCCGUAACUAUGACGGUCCUAAGGUAGCGAAGUUCCUUGUCGGGUAAGUUCCGACCUGCAUGAAUGGCGUAACGACUGGACCACUGUCUCCACGAGAGACUCGGUGAAACUGUAGUUGUCGUGAAGAUGCGACAUACCCGCAGCUAGACGGAAAGACCCCGUGAACCUUAACUGCAGCUUGGUAUUGGGUUUAGGCCCGGCAUGCGUAGCGUAGGUGGGAGGCCGUGAACCCCGCUUCUCGGAGCGGGGGGAGCCGUCGAUGAAACACCACCCUUGCCGUGCUUGAAUUCUAACCCGGUCCGGUGAACCCCGGCCGGGGACCGUGCUAAGUGGGCAGUUUGAUUGGGGCGAUCUCCUCCCAAACGGUAACGGAGGAGCCCAACGGUCCCCUCAGCCCGGUCGGCAAUCGGGCCUCGAGCGCAAACGCAGAAGGGGG
rnacentral:rRNA from 1 species